ensembl:lncRNA
UGAAAAAGGAGAAAGAAAACCUGUUUUUGCUAGUCUAGGCAAUACAGUGUGCCAGAAGCUAAUGAGACAUGAAUAAGGCCAGAAAUGCACAUCUUUUCACUUCUUUAAACUUUCUGUCUUUCAGCUGCUUCUGACUUUUCCUCAGAUAUCAGCACAACUUUACUGUGCUGACAAAGUCUAUGUGUGUUCAUACGGCUAAAAAACACCAAAAAUCCCUUGUUUCAUCCUUUUUUCCCCUUCCAAUCUAAAUGUAUGGCUCAAGGUGAGAAACUGAAUUGUCUAUUUUCACAGUACUAAAUGGCAUUAUAAAAAAGGGAAGUGAAACUCUUCAGACAGUAUACUCUAGCAGGGCUUUAUUCUUGUUCUUCUGUUUUUCAGUAUUACUCUCAAUAAUAUUUUCUACAAGGGACAGUGAAACUUUAAGAAUUUGAUCCAGCACUGAGAUUAUUCCAACAUUAAGACAGCAUUUUUAUAGGCUAUUUGAGCCAUUCCCAAUGCAGGCUUCUCAGCUCUGCCCACUGCCAGACACAUUCUCUUUUCUAGGCACUAGAUCAUGGAUUUAUCCCACCAAACAAGAAAAUUUGACUUAGAGAAGUCACAGCCUUGCUCACUGUAGAAAUAUGCAAAUACAAUACCAGUUGUGAGAUAAAUAUUCAUUAAAAAGAUUGUUUCAAAAUAAAGAAAAAUAUCCACCUAAAUUAGCUCAAAUUCCACCCUUAUAGAGAAGUCCAAUAACAUGUUCAUUUUAAAAUAGCCUACAUAAAUGAGAGACUUACAAAGGAAAACUGAUUCAAAGCCUUACUCACUUUUUUCCACUGAAAAUCUUCAAGAAGCUCUGCAUUUACUGUUUGAAGAGUAAGUCCAUUAAACAACCUCAAGUGCUUGGGUGCACAUACUUAUACAAAACUCUGAUAAGUUCAUCCAUUUUAUUACUUUUGACUUAUAUAGAAAAUCGAAGAGACUCCAAAGUAAUAAUAAAGAUGAAUUCCUUCCUCACCACUCGAAAGAAAUCCAAAGAGUAAUUCUAAAUUCUCCUUUGAACACACCUCGAACAAGGCCUGUAAUUUCUCCUGUUGCUCCGGAAGGAUAAAAUACAAUAUUUUACAACAUAAUACAAUUCAUUACAAAAUUAAUUAUAUAUAUAUAUGUAAUCACUACUCUGAGAAAACAUGCUAUGAGAUUCUAGUAACAGAUCUGGCAGGUGAUCUUCAUGUAAGAGGUAAAGAAAAACAGCGUUUACUUAACUGAUAACUAAAGCUAACAGAAUAAGAAAAUCUGACUCAAUAUUGCUCACAAUCAACAAGGCAGGAAUAAUGGAUUGCUUAGACCCUUCGUUCUACCACUGAUGCCUCUCUGGAUCCUUAUGAGCAUCAUGUAAGAACUUCACUGGUCAUCACUGAGAAGCUGCACAAGGUUUGAUGCUGACCCCUGUAUAACUCUGGUGCAAUUCACCACCAAUUAAUUUAGUAUCAUAUAAUCAUGUAAUCAUAGAAUCAUAGAAUGGCCUGGGUUGAAAAGGACCACAAUGAUCAUCGAGUUUUAACCCCCCUGCUAUGUGCAGCAUCACCAACCAGCAGACCAGGCUGCCCAGAGCCACAUCCAGCCUGGCCUUGAAUGCCUGCAGGGAUGGGGCAUCCACAACCUCCUUGAGCAACCUGUUCCAAUGUGUCACCACCCUCUGAGUAUCCAUUAUGAGAAUCCAACUGUUCAUAAACUACAUAGGUCGCUCUAGAAGUAAUGCAUAUAUUUCCAUGGAAGGUACAAUGCAUACAAAGAACAAAAUAACACUAUUGAAUAGAGUGAAUUCUCAGCUACAAAAAACAAUCAUCACCAUUAGCAGAAUGUGUGGAUGAGCUGAUUGAGACUGUCUUCAGUUCAUGGUCUGACAGCUGUGCAUGGCUGUCUAGAACAUGGUUUGUAUUUCAUGUCAUUAUCACCACUGCAGAAAUACAAAACCCACCCCUUGUUGUGCUCAAACCCACUGUUUGGUCUCCAUAAACAUUCGGUAAGCAUCAAUGAAUGUCAGUAGGUGCUGCUUUUUCUUCAAGGAAGAAUUCAAUUACACACCUUUGCUCCAUACCCAUUUCCAUGUCAGAUGCCGUACUUUCAGACUGUCUUUCUGCUGUUGUCUGUCACACAGAACAAAAUGUAGCAGGAUAUUGGUGGGAAGACUCAGUAUCUACUGUCAUCCCACCGACAUCUGCCUCUGACGUCGUGGCCCAAGACAAUAAAAUAGAAGGCAUUACUUUUGGAGCAUCCUUUGCAGUAGAAAUGCAGGAUGUGCAGCCCACUCCCCUUCCCUGGCAAAGGGUAGAAGAUUUUUCUGCACUUUGGCCAUUUUUACUCUCAUCCAUCACAGCUACUGUCAGCAGGAUGCAACAUUUUCUUUAAAAUGGAAUUAAAAUCUGAAUUUUCAUGAUGAUCCCUUGAGCGAUGAGGUAAACUCAGACCAGAAGUGUCGCUUAUCCUAUUGGUAACCAGAGCUGCAGUUUGCAGUUUACUAUAACUGCAAAUGGUGGGUAUUAAGGAGGAUUAAAAUAAAUACUUGGAGUGUGCAGAGCCCCCUCAGCAUCAUGACCUGAUGAACGCUGUUUCUCUGUAGUUGAUUAAACACAGAUUGAACUGCUAGCUGUUCCGUGCUUCCAUUGGCUCACUCUUCUUCAGAUGCACUAAUCUUGGAAAAAGCUGCCCACACCCUAAACUUUAUACCCCACAAUUUUGGCUUUGAUUUCACUGGAAUUAGCACACGAGGGAAGGUACAAGUUAUAUUCUUUCCAUGGUCUCAUGAGUGAUAUUAUUAUUUCAAGGCCAGGCUGGAUGUGUCUCUGGGUAGCCUGGUCUGCUGGUUGGCGACCCUGCACAUAGCAGGAGGUUGGAACUGGAUGAGCAUUGUGGUCCUUUUCAACCUAGGCCAUUCUAUAAUUCUAUGAUUUUAUGAUAAGGAUCAGGCUUGAGUCCUCAUGAUCUUUGUCAGAUGAUGGAGCCUCAUCCUAACACGACUGUCAGCAGCUCAUUUCUCUGUGCCUUACUCAACAACCCCCAGAUCCACUGCAAAUUCAGUAGGAAUGACCAAACCCAUAAGCAAAACCAAUUUAUCACUCCAACUUGCUCCUUCAUGAAAACGCCAACCAACCAGCCAACCUCGGAGCAGUCCCGGCCAACCCAAACGAUGCCAUGCAACUGCCGAAGCGGCGACAGCUCUUCGCAUUGUCUGCAAAGCGUGGCGGGGGUCUCUGCUGGAGCGGAGCGAUGGGAGUUUUCGUUGUAGCAACAUUGCCACCUAGUGCUGCCGUGAUGCAGUUCCGACACCGGGAAAUCCGACUCUUGAACAACCGAAGCAGCAGAACAGGUUGGUGUGACUUCCUCAUUCCGUAUUUUAGCCACGCUGCCACCUCUCUUCCCUCGGUAUUCUCACUUUUAGUGAGAAAGAGGGAAUAUGCCUCUCCUGAAAUAACGGGAAUAACUCAAAGCUCGCCGGCUGGCUUUCACAACGGGCCUUUUGCAGUCUCCGCCUGUGCAAAGAACAGAUGAACAAAGAUUUUCAGAUGAGCGGUUGGAAACUUGUGAUUAAGGUGAAACACACACCAUGAAGCAGUAAAGAGCAGGCCUUGAUUUUCUUUUCACUCAUCUUCAAUGUUCAGGUCUGACUAAUAAGGAAUGCAGGAGCUUUCUCUACAGUAUUUCCAAGUAAUUUUUUGGAAGCUGGUUCCAAUUUUCAGGCUACUGUUGAGGAGCUGGUUUGAACACAACAAUGGAGGCCCCUAAUUCAAUGUUGGCUUUGAAUGGAGGCAGGCUGUGAUGGCGAUACGUCACAACGAACUGGGAGGUGAUGGAGGAGGUAUGGAGGAGCGGACCCACCUAGAAAUGGCUCACCUCUGUGGUGGGUGUGGGAAGUCACUGGGUUUCAGAACAACCCAAUGGCUUAGCCUCACAUUAACUAAAGCCAUCCGUGAGAAACUGUCUUGUGAAUUUGCAUGAAACAUAUUUCUUGGGUUAGGCAGGAAAUCAAAAUUUCUUCAAGGAAGCUGAUACUAAAACCACUCUGAAAACGAAGUCUCCGAAGGCCUUACCUCACACAACACAGCCACAAACACCUGCUUCCGCUUCAGUUUCUCCUCCUAUUCAAAACUAAAGAGAGUAUUUCCAGAUCUCUGGAGCAGCUGUUCAUUUUAAGCCAGAUAUGUAGCAGUAAGACGCUCACUGAUGGCCUGAGGAUGGGAAAACACUACAUUUAUCAAAAUAUUCUGAUUUCCUCACUUAGACAGUUGCUGGGUAGAGCAAUGGAAGUCUUUACCCAGAUUUUUCAUGCAGCAUUUUGAAUCCUGAGUUAGAAACCAGUGAGUGUAUGUGACAUAUUUCAGGAGAUGUUCGUCGAUAGUGAAUGCGAGAUGCAAAUUCAACUAAAGUCCACAGUUUAAUCCUCAUUAAGAGGCUCAUUGGUGUCCACUUUAUCAGGAUAGUGAGAUAGAAAACAUGAGUCCUUAGGGGGACCCUAAUUAGGCGUUCUGGCAGGCCUGUUCAAGCAAGUAUAUGAUUUGAGGGGAUUGCUACCAUUGCGUUUUGUUGCUGACAUGCAUUUGCAAAUGCAUCUUGUGCUUCUAAGCUUUCAGUGCAUCUGGGGAUCCAGUUCAAGUAGCUCUCAUGAUUUUUCAAAUCCUUCCUCCAAAUCCCUACAGCCUUUCAGUCCCUCUGCCCAGUCAGACAUCACCUAUAGGGCUCCUUAAAAAAUAUAUAUCCUUGUUUCGGCAGUCAGUAUGGGAAGCAGUGAAUCUCACAGAUCCGAUGAAGGCUGAUCUUAGGGCAAAAGCACAGAAGUGAAAUCCCUGGUCAGAACAUACACCCUAUCCAAGAUGGGUUGAAUGUUUUAAUUUCUCUGUGCCUCUGAUCAAUGCCUGUAAAAUGGGGUGAAAAUACUUUGCUUGCUUGUGCUCCUUUUCCUCUCACUACUAUUGUAUAUUUAAAUACAGAUUCUUCAGACAAAAUAAUAUGGUUUUUUACUAUGUGAACCACACAAGAUCUCCAGAGCUGAUUGUGAGUAUUAUCUGUUCCUGCAAGAUAAGCAUAUCCUCACCAAAUUGCAUCCCUGUUGGAUCAUAGCACACUUCCCUUCUCUGCUUUCUCCACAGCUUAACUGCUGCUUGGCCAUCAGAUAGUACUUGGCAGCUAAUCUAGCCAAUGUAAAUGCUUUCAUGGACAGGCAAUUUUCCAGGAGCUGAAUGACUCUGCAGUGCUCUGACCCCAGAAGCCAGGAAGGACUUUAAACACUCAGUGCAGCCACUGGCUCCGGAAUGCCCCGGGCUGUCAGCUGGUAGGCUCUGGUGCAAGUACUGGAGAUACCUGCCUGUUCCAGCCCUGCUCUUUCUCUCUUUCCCAUAGCCCUUUUACUGGCCUCUAGUCAGAGACAGGCUGCCAAACCACAGGGAAGUUUGGUGUGCCCACAAUGGCAAUAAAAGCAGUCUAUCCUUUCACUCCUAUACUAAUAAUGCAAUUUAAUAAUUUAUUACACCAUCGGUAAUAAAGCAAGUCAGUGAUUUUUGCCCUACGUAGAUCCAGUUUCUCUUCUUCCACACCCAAUGGCUGCGCAUAGAUUUCCUACCAGGAGUAAUCCCAAUAUGCACACCCCCCCAGAAACCACCUGGUUUUUUGCUGUUUGACCUGGGCCAGAGCAGAGCUAUGAGUCCAGAAGCCAUUCUGGCAAGUAACAAUAUAGUUGAACUCAUGACAGUGCUCAGAACUUGCCGCGCUGCUACUAAAUACAGACAGUUCUGUUAUGG